AACGAACGCUGGCGGCAUGCCUAACACAUGCAAGUCGAACGAGACCUUCGGGUCUAGUGGCGCACGGGUGCGUAACGCGUGGGAACCUGCCUUUAGGUUCGGAAUAACUCAGAGAAAUUUGAGCUAAUACCGGAUUAUGUCUUCGGACCAAAGAUUUAUCGCCUUUAGAUGGGCCCGCGUUGGAUUAGCUAGUUGGUGGGGUAAAGGCCUACCAAGGCGACGAUCCAUAGCUGGUCUGAGAGGAUGAUCAGCCACACUGGGACUGAGACACGGCCCAGACUCCUACGGGAGGCAGCAGUGGGGAAUAUUGGACAAUGGGCGAAAGCCUGAUCCGGCAAUGCCGCGUGAGUGAUGAAGGCCUUAGGGUUGUAAAGCUCUUUUACCCGAGAUGAUAAUGACAGUAUCGGGAGAAUAAGCUCCGGCUAACUCCGUG
rnacentral:rRNA from 1 species